rnacentral:lncRNA from 1 species
UCAAAUCAGGGACCAAACCAUCUUGGCGAUUAGGUCAACUCUUAACCUAAUCGGGUCAAACCCAACUGAAUCCAAUUCAAUUGGACUUGAUCCAAAAAUAAUAACUCAAUCAAAUUAAGUUAAUUAGUGAUCAAAUCACUAAUUAAACCUCUCAUAAAUACUGAGUCCAAAUCUGAUGGGCAAUCGGGCAUCAGAAUUCAUCGAUAUGUAACCCUG